CACCAGAAUGUAUUCUCUAAUGUACACCAGAAUGUAUUCUCCAUUCAGAUACUGUGCAUCCGUGGACCUCCCUUUACAUGUCCAACCUAAAGGGACUAAGGAAACAUUGGGAGGCUGGUGAAUCAAUUAUAUUGGAAAAAGUAGAAAAUGGACUCGCCCAGGCCCAGCCACAGAAACAAUGGUUGAUAUAUUGUAGAUAAUUAUUGGGGAAGAAACCUUAUGAUAGGGGUUUGCUGCAGGGAUUUGAGUUGGUGGAUGGAUUUAAGAGGUUUUACUAAAGUAACAAAGUGGGCUAUGUAAUCUCAGGUGUGCAUUGCUAUGGUGAUUGCAGGUUGCUCUCCAGGAUGGCUGGGAUGAAGGAGCAGCAAUUUACUGAGGAGAAACCCCUACUGCAAGAACAAAGAGGACAAGACACUGAGAUGGAGAACUGUGAGACCCUGAUGCCCAUUGGAGACUGGAAGGUACUGAAACUGUUUUCUAUCUUUCCAAAGUACCGUUACUCUCUUUCUCUCUAUCCUUCUCUGGUUGUUGUUAUUACUGUCCAUCACAGGAUGCUGCUGAGGGGGAAACGGCUCAUAAUAAUGACCAGAACGGAGCAAAUAAAAUGGCAUCAGACACCUGGAAACCAUGUGUUUAACCUAUUUGAUACCAUUACACAACUUCCGCUUCUCACCACUAGCCAGUCCUCCCCAAUUAAGGUGCCUCCAACCUCCUGUGCUCUACACUCACCCAUGUAACCAUGGUGACUCAUUGGGAGGAGAAGAGGGAAGAAGAUGGGGAGAAGGAGAAGUGGAAUAGCCUAAUAUGAGUUGGGACUAAUAUGAGUUGGGACUAAUAUGAGUUGGGACUAAUAUGAGUUGGGACUAAUAUGAGUUGGGACUAAUAUGAGUUUGGACUACUACAUACUGAUGGAAUCAUUCACUAUCACACAGCAGCUCUCACACAGUGCAGAACCACAGUAGUUUUGAAGUCCUUAGAAGUUGAUUUCUUUACCGUGAUGUUCAGAGUCUAUUUUAACAUGAAUCCACGUAGCGAUGAAAUCAGAGACAUGACUAAUCCUUUCUCCCCUCUGUCUGAUACCUCCAGUGUCACCUCCCCCCUCUCUCACCUCCCCCUCUGCCCCCCUCUUCCCCCCUCUCUCACCCUCUCAACUCAAUUAAUUUCAAAUGGAUUUAUUGGCAUGGAAAACAUACUGUAUGUUACAUUGCCAAAGCAAGUGAAAUCGAUAAUAAACAAAAGUGGAAUAAACAAUCGAAAAUGAACAGUAAACAUUACUCACAAAAGUUCCAAAGGAAUAAAGACAUUUCAAAUGUCAUAUUAUGGCUAUGUACAGUGUUGUAACUAUGUGGAUAUAGUUAAAGUACAAAAGGGAAAAUAAAUAAACAUUAAUAUGGGUUUGUUCUUCAAUGGGCACCCUUUUCUUGUGGUUUGUUCUUCACCGGUUGCCGUUUUCGUGUGGCAACAGGUCACAAAUAUUGCUGCUGUGAUGGCACACUAUGGUAUUUUACCUAAUAGAUAUGGGAGUUUGUCAAAUUUAGAUUUUUUUUCAAAUACUUUGUUGGUCUGUGUAAUCUGAGGGAAAUAGGUCUCUAAUAUGGUCAUACAUUUGGCAGGAGGUUAGGAAGUGCAGCUCAGUUUCCACCUCAUUUUGUGGGCAGUGUGCACAUAGCCUGUCUUCUCUUGAGAGCCAGGUCUGCCUACGGCAAGGCUAUGCUCACUAAGUCUGGCUAUGCUCACUAAGUCUGGCUAUGCUCACUAAGUCUGGCUAUGCUCACUGAGUCUGUACAUAGUCAAAGCUUUCUUUAAUUUUGGGUCAGUCACAGUGGUCAGGUAUUCUUCCACUGUGUACUCUCUGUUUAGGGACAAGCAGCAUUCCAGUAUUUUUUAUUUUUUUGGUUAAUUCUUUCCAAUGUGUCAAGUUGUGUUGCUGUCCUGGGGCUCUGUGGGGUGUGUUUGUGAACAGAGCCCCAGGACCAGCUUGUUUAGGAGAUUCUUCUCUAGAUGAAUCUCUCUCCAGGUGAUGUCUUAUUUAUGGAAGGUUUAGAAAUCGCUUCCUUUCAUGUGGUUGUAGAAUAUAACUGCUCUUUUCAGGAUUUUGAUAAUUAGUGGGUAUCGUCCUUAUUCUGCUCUGCAUGCAUUGUUGGGUGUUUUACAUUGUACACGUAAGAUGUUUUUGCAGAAUUCUGCAUGCAGAGUCUAAAUUUGGUGUUUGUACCAUUUUGUGAAUUAUACGUUGGUGAGCGGCCACAGACCUCACAACCAUAAAUGGCAAUGGGUUCUAUAACUGAUUCAAGUAUUUUUUAUCUAGAUCCUAAUUGGGAUGUCGAAUUUUAUGUUCCUUUUAAUGGCAUAGAGAGCCCUUCUUGCCUUGUCUCUCAGAUCGUUCACAGCUUUGUGGAAGUUACCUGUGGUGCUGAUGUUCAGGCCGAGGUAUGUAUGGCUUUUUGUGUGCUCUUGGGCAACGGUUGUCUAGAUGGAAAUUGAAUUUGUGUUCCUGGCAACUGGAUCUUUUUUUGGAACACCAUUUCCUGUCAGGGCCCAAGUCUGACAUAAUCUGUGCAGAAGAUCUAGGUGCUGUUGUAAAUGUUUGUAUGUGUGUUUUUCUGAGGGUGUCCUUGCAUGUGUGUGUGAUGACAGUGCAUAUGAUUAUGGGUGAGAGAACGAGGUUGUGUAUUUAAUGAAGACUGGAAAUGUUGAGUCAGCCGGGGAGUGGGUUAAUCCCUCUCUUCCGCAGAAAAGGGGGACCGAGCUAGAAAGAGACAUGGAGAGUUUACAGUUGAGUCAGCUUGCUAAGUUCUCUGUACACAGGAAAGGCGGAGACCGAAGAGAGAAAGAACAAAUGGAUGUUGUGGAGAAUAUGGACAAUGGUUGCUGGUGUGAAUAAAUGUAACCUACAGCAGAGAGAGCCACUGCUGCCAUAUUGAUCUGUAGUCAGCACUGUUCCAUUAUCCCCUGCUUUCUGAGUAGACGCACGCACAUACAGUACUCUGCUCCGCUCUACUGGUGACCUAUGGCCACUUACUGUCCCAUCAAUGUCCCAUUACACAGAGGCAUUGAUGAGCCUACUGGCUGCUGCUGCUGCUGCUGCACAGAGACAGAAAGAGACGUCACUGUUCUCUGUUUAAUAUUUUUAAUGUAAAAAUACAUCUCACUGCAUGCUAAGCAUUUGUUUAUGCAUCACCGCCCAUGACUGUUAAGGAGCGAUAAGAGAGAUGGGAAAGGAAAGGAGACAGGGAGGACAGGGUCAAUGAGAGAGAGAGGGAGCGAAAGAGAGAGGGAGAUAAGCCAUCUUCUCCUGAAACAGAGCAAUGGUGCUGAUGAGAGAGCAAAACAAGAGCACAGCAGAGAACCUGCUGUGACUGACAGAGCAGCCAACCAAUCAUGUGCAGAGAGGCAGCACUGGCAGCGAAUAGGCUUGAGUUCUGCACGCCCUCAUGGUGGGGUUUAUAAGGUGUCGGGGGAAGAGAGGGGGCACAGCACUGCAGCGCUCAGCCCCAUAGCAGGACGAGGCUAGACGAGACAAGACAAGACGAGACAAAGCGACCACCAGCAGAAUCCCCCAGCAGGCUCUGCUCUAAAGCCAGGACCUAGUCCCACUACAGGAGAGGACUGGCUCUGUCUGUUUGUCUGUCUGUCUGUCUCGUCUCCACUGGCUGCUCCUCCUCCUCCUCCUCGUGCCAUUCUUCCACCUCUUUCUCCUCCACCACUG
ensembl:lncRNA